rnacentral:lncRNA from 1 species
CCCAAGAGAUGCAGGUGCCAGUAGCUGGAAGUUGGGCAGUUGUGCACUGAAAUGGUAAGGGCAAGGGUUAUGAUUGUCAUACCAACAGCAGUCACCACACAGCUGGAGGCUAGAGCUUCUAGAUUCAUCUAUAUACUUAAGAAGAGCAAUGGACGUGGAUGCAGUGCCAGAAACACAGACUGUUUUCCUAGCUCUUCUCUUAAUGGUGACUUUGGUAGAUUGCCACAGUAUAUUGACCUUGGAUGCCAGCCAUGGCUGGGGCACAGGAAGCGCCCCAGCAGAGAAGCCACUCUCUUUUUGACUUCAGGGACAGGAUCUGCAUGAAGGAGAAAGUGUGUGACUCAAUUAAGAUACAAUUAAGAUCUCCUCCAUGGUCUCCCUUUUAUCUAGUGUCCUCAUUAUCCUGGUUUCUUUUCUUCUUGCUGUGGGGAUGGCACUGCCGUUGCAUGCUGAUGAGCAUGUCUGUGGCCCAACUUCUGAACUAGAGAUUUCUGAGUAAUUAAUUUGGAUUUAAGCUUCUCUAGCCAGCCUUUGAUAGACCCAUGAUUGAGUGCAUUGGAAGGCAUUGAUUUCUCCUCGGCAUUUUUUUGGUGCUUAGAGGUCAAGAGUCCAUUUGGUACCUGCCUAUCUAAAGUGAGUCUCAAAGUGAGUUUUGAAAAAUAUGCCAUUGUUUCAAGCAACUUGGCCUACUCCUGGGAUCCCAAACCCCUCCCCAGUGCUAUGAACGUUUUUGCAUUUCAUCUCUACCAUUUUGUCACAGAGCAAUUUGACCUCAUGAAACUAUAGAGUACUGGCUGGGCAUAAGGCUUGGCUGGAGCUCAGGCAGAGUACGGGCAUCUUGACACAAGGCCCUUACUAAUUUGAAUAGAGUGAUGAGCAGGUAGAAAUAAAGAUGUAAUUCCAAAAGACGAGUUGAGAAUUCACUCAAGAACUAAUAGCCCCAGUUUUGAACAUUGUUGUUUGUGGAUAUACAAUGUACUCUGAUUUUUCCUAUUUCCAAAUCUCCUUUAAGACCUAGUCUUCCUAGAUUUCAUCAGAUUAAGUAAAACCACUCUUGCUCUGAAAUUAUGCAGCGCUUACUACAAUGGCUUUCAAAUUUUUGCUGUGUUCCAGGGUAAGAAAUGAAUUUGGUGUAUUAGUUCCACACAUUUUUAUAUAAGUCUAGUUUAAAGUUUUACUCUAUGUUCUCCUAGAGGUAGACCUUGAGACAAGGGUUCAUAUGCAAGUGGUUUAUUUGGGAGAUGAUGCCAGGAAAGACCAGGGAACAAGAGAAGUGAACCUGGAAAGGAAAGGGGGACAUUAAAGGGUGCAUUAUCAACAGUUGCUUAAUUUCCCUGGGAAACACUGGGAAAUAGUUUUGUGGGAACCAGCCUUCAAGUUGGCCCCAGCAAUCCUCGCCUACUGUAUUCAUACCCUUGUUUAAUCCCCUCCCACACGAACCGUGUGUGUGGCUUGUUUGGCCAAUAGAACAUGCUGUCUGUGGUCAGCAGUCCUUGAGAUGGCCCCAGUUAUCCCUAUCUCCUGGUAGUCAUACCCUUGUAUAAUCCCUUCCCCAAGAACAUGGGCCACUUAUAACCAAUAAUAAGCGAGUCACUUCUAGCCGAUACAAUAUGGUCAAGGUAAUAAAUGUCAAUUGUGAGAUUAGGUUACAGAAAGACCCUGGUUUUCUUCUUGUUUGUGCUCUCUUGGUCUUUUCCUCACUGGAUCCGAGGAAAAACCAGCCACCGUUUUGUGAACUGCCCUAUGGAGAGACCCAUGUGGUGGAGGAAGUGAGGCUGCCAACAGCCAGGGGAGUGAGCCUAGAAGUAGAUCCUCCCUUAGUUGAGCCUUGAGAUGCCUGCAGCCUCAGCCAGCACCGUGAGAGAGAGCCUGCAGCCUCAAGAGAAACCUUGAAUCAGAGGCACCUAGCCCUGGGGGAAGCCAGUCACAGAUCAUGAGGAGACUCAAAAUGUCCUAUGGAGAGGUCCAUGUGGUCAUGAGCUGAGGCCUCUUGCCAACAGCCAGCACCAACUUGCCAGAUAUGUGAAUAAGCCAUCUUGGAAGCAGAUCGUUCAGUGCCGUCAAGUCUUUGGUUGGCUGCAGCCCCAGAAGACAUCUUGACUACAAUCUCAUGAGCAAUCUGGAGCCAGAACCACAAGUUAAGUUGCUCCUUAAUUUCUGAUCCAAGGAAAGUGUAAAAUAGUGAAGUUAUUGUUAUAUUAAGCUGCCAUAUUUUGGGCGUAAAUUGUUUUGCACCAAAAAAUAAUGAAUGUAGCAUAGAACAAGAGACUCAGAGUUAUCCUACCUAAGUAGAGGAGCUGGGGUAUUUAUACACCAAUACCCAUCUAUCAAUGGAUGAGAGCUGUUUCUAGGGUCUAUUAAUUCUCCAGCAGUUCCCUGUGGGCACAGAGGGCUUCAGUGGCCAGAAGAAGCCUGCAGGCAAAGAGAUCCAGAUGUCGGCAGUUGGAAGUCAGGCCUGGGUGUACCGAAAAGUAAAGAGGUCCCAUUUGCCAGCGCUGCACCCAAGAUCUCCACCCACUACAAGAGAAGUACCAGGUCAAGGGUAUUGAUAGUGACUGAGGAACAGAACGUUACAGAUCCCACCUGGAAUUUUCUGAACCUACCUUGAAAGAAGGUCAGAGAAAUGGCAGCUGGAUCCAGGAAGAUGAGAAAUUUGAGCAGGCUUAGAAGUUGGCAGCCUACAACACAUUGAUUUGUGUCUUUUUUUUUUUUAAGCCUACCUUUUCUUUGUCUUUUUCUGAUUUAUAAAGCUACAAAACCAAAUAUAAAUCUUUUAUUUGUAAGCCACUUUCCACAUUAUUCAUCUAAUAACCCUCUGUGUGGC